GGGGAUGAGUAAAGCGGCGAACGGGUGAGUAACACGUGGGCAACCUGCCCUUCAGUCAGGAAUAACCCACCGAAAGGUGGGCUAAUACCGGGUAAUGUCCUUUGGAGGCAUCUUCGGGGGACCAAAGGGGGCGAGCGAAAGCGGCUCCCGCUGAGGGAUGGGCCUGCGGCUGAUUAGCUAGUUGGUGGGGUAGCGGCCUACCAAGGCAACGAUCAGUAGCCGACCUGAGAGGGUGACCGGCCACACUGGGACUGAGACACGGCCCAGACUCCUACGGGAGGCAGCAGUGGGGAAUAUUGCGCAAUGGGCGAAAGCCUGACGCAGCGACGCCGCGUGGGUGAUGAAGGCUUUCGGGUCGUAAAACCCUGUCGGGUGGAACGAAUCCCCUCCUCUCUAAUACAGGGGAGGAUUGACGGUACCACCGAAGGAAGCCCCGGCUAACUACGUGCCAGCAGCCGCGGUAAUACGUAGGGGGCGAGCGUUGUUCGGAUUUACUGGGCGUAAAGAGCGCGUAGGUGGUUCGAUGAGUCGGAGGUG
rnacentral:rRNA from 1 species